UACAGAGGUCUCAAGCGUUGUUCGGAUUCAUUGGGCGUAAAGGGUGCGUAGGUGGCGCGGUAAGUCGGGUGUGAAAUUUCGGAGCUUAACUCCGAAACUGCAUCCGAUACUGCCGUGCUUGAGGACUGGAGAGGAGACUGGAAUUUACGGUGUAGCGGUGAAAUGCGUAGAUAUCGUAAGGAAGACCAGUGGCGAAGGCGGGUCUCUGGACAGUUCCUGACGCUGAGGCACGAAGGCCAGGGGAGCAAACGGG
rnacentral:rRNA from 1 species